rnacentral:lncRNA from 1 species
AACAAGACUCUGCCUAAAAGAAAAAAAUAAAUGUAGGUUUAUCUGGGAAUGUAGCUCAGUGUGAACAGCCUGGCUCCAGUACCUAGUACCAUUAAAAAAAAAAAAGUGUGGCCUGCCUGUGUGUGACCUCUGAGGGUCCCUAAUCUGCUGCUCUGGGAGACAAAAAUUGUUCUUUCUCUAUACCCUAAUAAGACCCUUCACCCAUGUGGGCAGUCAUUGGCUGUUUGAUGAUAAACAAACCCUCUGGUGAUUUCAAGCAUGACACUGGCGGCACCCGUCACAAGGUUGGAUGACUAUUCUUGUUUUUUCAAGAAAUGGGAUGCAGCUGAAUGCUAGUAGAGAACACAGCAUUGCCGUCUUGGAAGGAGAAAACUCUUUGCAUCGUGAGCUCAUCCUUGCUGGGUCAGCAGAGAACAAUGGCACUGACUGGCAGUGCAGUUUAGCCAGCUCGUCAGCCCUAGAUGCAAUGACAGACCAAGAAACGCUGAUCCUCAGACAGCGUGAACAAAGUGGAGUGGAAUUCACAGCUACACUUCAGAAGCUGGUAUUUUAUGGCAUGCAUAUAUAGUAUUGCAAUGUUUCACUGCCUAGGAAUAGCUCUAGAUUACCGACUACAGUCUAUUUGUUGAGUCCAAAUGUAUCUGUGUUCUGUUGAGACCAAAAUUAAUCCGACUUUGAACAAAC